UACGUAGGGGGCAAGCGUUGUCCGGAAUCAUUGGGCGUAAAGAGCGCGUAGGCGGCCCUGUAAGUCCGCUGUGAAAGUCAAGGGCUCAACCCUUGGAUGCCGGUGGAUACUGCAGGGCUAGAGUCCGGAAGAGGCGAGUGGAAUUCCUGGUGUAGCGGUGAAAUGCGCAGAUAUCAGGAGGAACACCGAUGGCGAAGGCGGAUCUCUGGGCCUUACCUGACGCUCAGGUGCGAAAGCUAGGGGAGCGAACAGG
rnacentral:rRNA from 1 species